GGAUGUGAAAUCUGGCUGCGAUAUCUGUCACCCCAUUGAUCGCCAGGGUUGAUUCGGCUGAUCUGGCUGGCUAGGCGGGUGUCCCCUUCCUCCCUCACCGCUCCAUGUGCGUCCCUCCCGAAGCUGCGCGCUCGGUCGAAGAGGACGACCUUCCCCGAAUAGAGGAGGACCGGUCUUCGGUCAAGGGUAUACGAGUAGCUGCGCUCCCCUGCUAGAACCUCCAAACAAGCUGUCAAGAAUACUGAAAUUAAUGUCUUAAAAUGAAUAGCAUGAAAUAUAAGAAUUUUCCUCUAAGCAACAUGAGGAUACUCACAGUAACCAUUA
ensembl:misc_RNA 7SK 7SK RNA